UUAACAGAAUCCCAUCGUUUUUCCGUUUUCCUCUCUUUUUUCUCCUGCCGUGGAAGUUCCAUGGGGCAAGAAGAAGGAGAAGAAGAAUGCUCCGGUUGUGACGCUGACCCAAAUGGUGGGGGAAGAAUUUAUAUGCAACCGGAUGAUUCCUUCCUCACUGCUCACGCACGGGUGAAGAUGUUUCCCUGUCUAACUUCUACUGCGCAACCCAAUCCAAGUUCUCGUCCUAAGUCCUCAAAUUUCUCGAACGACGGUUGUCAUAAUUCGCAUGGUUGUUCUGUUUUGCUUCCACUGUUGCUGUAGCCGAUCGUGACCCUUCUUUGGGCAAUCGACUUCAUAUUCAGACAUGCUUGUUGAUCUGUUGUUCAAGACAGACAGUGACUGCUCUAUGUUGUCACCACCAGCCACUAUUUAUUUCUCCAGUUUUUCAGUUUGUGGACGUCAUAUUUCAAUUUGUUAUAUUUUUAGCUUUUUAACAGGUUGGUCUGGUUGUUUGUUCACCUAGGGAACGACCAUUGUGCCAGCCACUGAGUCAGUGGCAGCUGAAACGGUAUGGGUUCCGAGUUGAUUGGUUGGUAGGUAGAUAUGUAUACUGACUUUAUAAAUUCAAGAUCAAACUGGGAAUUCAUUAAUGAUGGGAUUCUUUAAUGCAAAAAGAGAUUUCUCUGUUGUUAGUGCUUAUUGCUUGUGGAUUCUAAUGGAUAACAUCACAAAUAAAAGAUUUUCCCUCAUGCUCCCCUGGUGAUGUCGUGUUAUGCUCACUACAUUCUUCAUUGUUUGGCUUGAGGUUCCAUUGCCUGAAUCAUAAGUCCACGCAAAGUUCGAUGAUAUAUGCACUCAUAACAUGGAAGGUUAGGUGACUUAAUAAGUGCAGGCAAUUAGAUAUGGCUGAUAUCCACACGAUUGCUUGAUCCUCAUUGCAGAACAACAGCUUGAUAUCGCCUCCUUCGGUUUGUAAGCUGAGCAAGAAGUAGCCACGGGCUUCAUGAACUUCUUCCGACAUAUCCAAAAUUCUGUCUGUAAAAUCCAAGAGCAUCAGGGGACAAAGUUACUGUUAGUUCUGUAAUUGCCAGGAAUUUCAAGAUGGACUGAUACUAAUCUUUGCCUCUUUUGCCCUGAGUGAACGGUUGGACAUUGGUCAAUUUACUACAUAUAUGGCACAAAAUACAAACAAUAGGGAGUCACAGUACAGGCAAUCUACCAGAAGGUGUGACUACUGGCAUUGCAGUCCCGGAAUUCAGCAGCUCUUCAGUCUCUUCCAGAUAGGAAUUUACAAUGGUUCUUGAUCUGAGUGUUGCAGCUCCUCUUAAACCUGGAAAAGAUCAAUUGCAUAAAUACAUCUGUUCUGGCUUUCAAAGGAGCUGAACAUGUUUCCAUGUAAUAACAUUUUUGAGGAUAUGGUAGCUAUGGAAUCAUUACACGUUGCA